CCUAAGAGAGAGCAGACCAGCAGUGUGCAUUUGCUCACUGGAUGUAAAACAAGAUUGGAGUCCGCAUCAGAGGCGUGGAGAGGAAGACAGAGGGGAGCUGCUGACUGGCUGAUCAUGGGGAUAAUCACAGCAGUCACUCACUAAGCACUUGACGGUGUCCAGCUCUAAUGCAUCACCUCAUUGGAGACUCAACUGAACCUUUUUGAAGAAAGUUCAGUUAUUAUUACCACUUUAAAGACCAGAAGCAUGGGCUCUGUCUGAGCAAACCUGAGUGUGCCAGCUCACCAUAGCACCGGCCAGACAUAAAGAGCAACAGAUGUUUGUUGAAUGAAUGGACACAUUAAUGAAUCCUAGUUGUCCUUCUUCCAAGUCCCAGUGCUCCAGAUAUGGAGAAAAGAAACCGAUGACACAUCUAAUUUCAUCUCUACCAUCCACCCUGGACAGGGAAAAGAUUCCCAUUUUACAGGUUAGAACUCAAAGUCAGGAUUGAGGAAACAGCUGAGCUGAUCUACCUGGCUGUGCUAAUGAAGUCAGUGCUAAGGGCUUUGGGAGACCAGUUUUUGUGGAGCAGUUAUCUGCGCAGGGACAAGCUGGCUUCCAGGAACUGGAAAAAAAUGCCAAGUAGAGAAGGGAAGCACCUCCUGGAGGGCUUGCCGGCCUAAGCUCUUUAGCCUCAAAGUGGCUGCACCACAAGCUUCCUGGAUAUAAGGACACGUGGCCCUUGGGGCUCCAUAACCGUUGUAGGUUUCUGGGCACCAAGUUCCCCCUUGACCCAGCAAGUCUGUUCGCUUGUUGACCUCUACCUGCUCCUUUGAGCUCACCUGCCUCCUGCCCAGCCUUCCCAGAUCCCGCCUAAACUGAUCCACGUUCCUGACCCCAGUGCCGCACCGAUCCUAUAGUCCCGGGGUCCCCACGCCCUCUUCCUCCCCCCGCCCCAAACCCCGCGCGCUGUGGCCCGCACUAACCCCGCUGGCCGCGCUUCAGUCUCAGGCUGGCUCGGAGGCGGCGGCCAAGCCCAUCCAUGGCCCCUCCGGUGCCCGGCACCAGCUCCCACGUCCGCGCCAGCCCCGCCCCCCAAAUCCUUGACCUUCUUGGGGCCCUGGAACUUUCACUUUCACGCGGGAGGCGCAGGGAGGGGGUGGGGCUGGACAGCGCACCUUCCGGGCUUCUGCCCAACCCCUGGCGCACCUGGGCUGGCCGCUCUUCUCGGGUCGCCACCCUACACCCCUGCGCCUCUAGGCUCAGGGUGCCAGAGGGCGCCCGCGCGUCCAUCCGGGAGGGGCGGUACCAUCUCACUGUCCUCCUCUGUGAAACUUCACUUUCUGAAACACUAUAGUAUGUGCCUAAAGAGACCCCUACCUUCCAGGGCAAGGACUGGAAGACGCACCUCCAGGGUGUUUCCAAACUAUCCCGAGGUGUAGAACUUUCAGACCACCUGUCCUUGCAACUAUUCAGAGGCGCUGGCUACUUCCAGAUCUCGUUCCUUUGUCUUCUCUACCUAGGCACUCCUGAAAAGGGACUGGAGAGGUGGGUUAAGGUAGUGACCCUGCCUUUCAUUUGAUUUUGUUAGUCCAUAGAUGGACAUAAUGAGGAUAAUACCUGCCUGGCUACCAUAAAGAUUUCUGAAUGUCAGAGAGUGGGAUUAGAAAACUUUCUGUAAAGUGUUAUAUGAUAUGAGUGUAAAGGAUUCCUGUGGUCAGCAUUGUUACCACUUGCAUCCCUCUUCUAGUUCCAGAGAACAGCGCAGCCACCCACCUAUUCCUCUCUCCUUACCUCCACUGACUUCUAAAUGGGCCCAGAUUUUAAACUGCAGUUAUUAACUAUGACUAUGAUAAGCACCUUCUGGGGUUUCUGUGGUACACCUUUUCUUCCUCCCAGGGCAGGGCAGGGCAGGGCAGGGCAGGGCAGGGCAGGGCAGAGCAGGGCAGGGCAGAGCAGGGCAUCUGUAAGAGGGAUGAGCAGAGUCAGUUUGAACCUUCUAUGUUCACCAUGGUCUUAACCUUGACUUCAGGAAUGACAGGCAAAUGAAAGCAAAAACCCACAAAGAUGGCGGUGACCCUCAGUCCGCGACAGUCUCCCCAUGCCUCAUCCCCAAGGGACUCCACAGUCCUCAGCUCUAUAGUUCAGAAGGAUUGGACAACCAGCCCUUGCAUUAAACUGAUCACUCUGAGCAGAGGUUCUAUGAGUUGCCUUUACUCUAGGUGCAAGCAACUUGCACUUAAUUUUAAUUAUAUAGUUUAGUUUUGUUUCCUAUUCUCUGGAUUCUUGCAUGAAAUAACCUGAAAGGACAUGGGUGUCCCAAGUGCCUUCUCUUAUGAGAUCUGCAGCUUCUCUAUCUCUCAUAAGAGAAGGAGAUGCUCAAGAAAACCUUGUCCAACUUGUUGACACUUUUUGUGCUCUUGCGUCUUAAUUGGUCCAAUCUAAUUUACAGACAGAGCUUUCUUUCUUUAAAAACAAAACAAAAAACAGACGAGUAAGAACACAUGUGUGCCAAGAAGACAAGGACAAGACUAAUGGAAACUGUUGAACAAGCCUUUACAUGGGAAUAACCUCACGUGUUCAUUAAUACAAAAAUAGGUAAAUGGUGGCAUGUGUAUACAGUUGUGUAUUAUGCAACAAUAAAAGUAAAUAAUCCUCCAGUGCAUGUAAUAUUAUGCCCAUACUUACAAGUAUAAACAAGAGAUACCAGACACAAAAGAGAUAAGCUUCAGUUUAUAUAAAGCUUCAAACGGACAAAGCUAACCCAUAGGAUGAGCAGUCAGGAUAGUACAUCUUUUAGGGAAGAAAAAGGAAGUAAUGGUUGGGGAAUACCAUCAGACCUCUGGUGAGGGUUUGGGGUUGACCAUGCCUAUGCCUAACCUGAGGGUAAGGAUAUUCACUAGGUGGUCAUUCUUUGUACGAAAGAAUUAGGAACUUUGCAUAGUUGUAUGAGACUUUCUCUUAGACUAAUGUCAGGAGGUCAGUUAAUGAUAGCAGUCAAAUGGACAUGGAAACGGGCCAAGAAUGAAAUGAAAAAUGAUUGAAAUGUGAGGAAGUAAAAUUACAUUUCUGAGAAGUAUGAAUAACAACAGAACAAAAGUUCAUUGUUCUAGAAUUGAUGAGAUAUUUGUGUUUAACGUGGUGGGUUCUUUGAGAAAGACAAGAAAGCAUUUGUGGGCAGAUAGGAAUGGGAUAGCUCAAGAAAGAGUGAGUGGAGGAGACAAGAGCUGACAGGAGAUGAGGGUGGGUGUAAACAGGCGUCAGUGGGCUUUGGGCUUCAUUAUAUUUUUCUUAGGAAUGUAUAUUUUUUAUGAAAUGAGUUUCAUUUUGACAUUUCCCAACAUGUGCAAAAUCAACUUUGACUGUAUUCAUCACCUUUUACUGUCUCUAGUCUUUCACCACCUGGUAACAAGCCCACUUCCCCACAUAUAUUCCUGUUUCUACUUUCAUGGAUUUUUUAAAAGUUAGGUUUUGCAUAUGAAAAAAAUGCAGUAGUUAUCUUUCUAAGCCUGGUUAUUUUACUUACUAUGGUGAUCUCCAGUGCAUUCGUCUUCUUAAAUAUGUCAUAAUUUUUCUCUUCUUUAUGGUUGAAUGAUAUUUCAAUAUGUGUAUGCCACACUUUUAUCCAUUCAUACUAUGGUUGGGUAACUAGGCUGAUUCCAUAACUUGGCUAUUUUAUAGAGUCAAGCAAUGGGCAUGGGUGUAUAGAUAUGCCCAAGGCUUCAUGUCAUGAGAAGUUGGAAAGAAAAACCUGUCAACUGGGAACUCGGUGGAAGCUUUUGCUAGUAGGCAAGCAAGAAUUCCAGCCCAAUUACCAAGUGCCUAAGGCCAUCUCCCUCUCAGCCACAAUACUGCAGAUUUUCUAGGAAAAAAAAGAAGAGGGAGUCCAAGUAACCUUUUGAGAAGUAAGAAGUAGCUUAAGAGUCAACAAGGAUCCCCCCCCUCUCUCUCUGUGUGUGUGUGUGUGUGUGUGUGUGUGUGUGUGUGUGUAUGUGUGUUUGUAAGACAAUUGCUCAUUCUCCCUUGAGGCGCACAUAUGCACAGGUGCCUCUUACCUGCCCCUCUCCUCCCUUGGGAAGCACAGACCCCAACCUGGGCAUGCAUCGUUUCUUCUGAUCACUUCUCAUUCUCAUAACAAUAAUGAUUAAGUCUGUAUUAAAAUCAUCAUUAAACAGAUUUUUAACUCUGCUUCA